GCGCCAAGGGUUUGCGUUUGUUGCAUAUUCACCAUCGGAUGUGGAGCCACUACCUCCCAAAACUGCACCUAUCUCACCCAAACAAGCACCCACCAAUCCAGCGGCUGAUCCUUGUGUUUUUACGAUCUGCAAGGAAUGCCCUGAGAUUUGCCGGAUAAGACUGGACUUUGCGACUUUUGCGAUUGCCGGGCCAGCAAUAGGGACUGCCACAACGACGGCCGCAGCGGAUCUCCCAAAUGGUCUCAUAAUUGGCGAUUUUUGACAGAUACGUUUGUCUUCAGUUCACCAGGAAAUACAGCCUCACCGGUCAUUUGCGGUUUUAACUCGG